ACGCUGGCGGCAUGCUUUACACAUGCAAGUCGGACGGCAGCACAGGGAAGCUUGCUUCUUGGGUGGCGAGUGGCGAACGGGUGAGUAAUAUAUCGGAACGUACCGAGUAAUGGGGGAUAACUAAUCGAAAGAUUAGCUAAUACCGCAUAUUCUCUGAGGAGGAAAGCAGGGGACCUUCGGGCCUUGCGUUAUUCGGGCGGCCGAUAUCUGAUUAGCUAGUUGGUGGGGUAAAGGCCUACCAAGGCGACGAUCAGUAGCGGGUCUGAGAGGAUGAUCCGCCACACUGGGACUGAGACACGGCCCAGACUCCUACGGGAGGCAGCAGUGGGGAAUUUUGGACAAUGGGCGCAAGCCUGAUCCAGCCUUGCCGCGUGUCUGAAGAAGGCCUUCGGGUUGUAAAGGACUUUUGUCAGGGAAGAAAAGGCUGUUGCUAAUAUCGACAGCUGAUGACGGUACCUGAAGAAUAAGCACCGGCUAACUACGUGCCAGCAGCCGCGGUAAUACGUAGGGUGCGAGCGUUAAUCGGAAUUACUGGGCGUAAAGCGAGCGCAGACGGUUACUUAAGCAGGAUGUGAAAUCCCCGGGCUCAACCUGGGAACUGCGUUCUGAACUGGGUGACUAGAGUGUGUCAGAGGGAGGUAGAAUUCCACGUGUAGCAGUGAAAUGCGUAGAGAUGUGGAGGAAUACCGAUGGCGAAGGCAGCCUCCUGGGAUAACACUGACGUUCAUGCUCGAAAGCGUGGGUAGCAAACAGGAUUAGAUACCCUGGUAGUCCACGCCCUAAACGAUGUCAAUUAGCUGUUGGGCAACUUGAUUGCUUAGUAGCGUAGCUAACGCGUGAAAUUGACCGCCUGGGGAGUACGGUCGCAAGAUUAAAACUCAAAGGAAUUGACGGGGACCCGCACAAGCGGUGGAUGAUGU
rnacentral:rRNA from 1 species